GAUGAACGCUGGCGGCGUGCCUAAUGCAUGCAAGUCGAGCGAACGGACGAUAAGCUUUCUCCUCUGAUGUUAGCGGCGGACGGGUGAGUAACACGUGGAUAACCUACCUAUAAUUCGUGGAUAACUUCGUGAAACCGUAGCUGAUACCGGAUAAUAUUUUGAACCGCAUGGUUCAAAAGUGAAAGACGGUCUUGCUGUCACUUAUAGAUGGUUCCGCGCUGCAUUAGCUAGUUGGUAAGGUAACGGCUUACCAAGGCAACGAUGCAUAGCCGACCUGAGAGGGUGAUCGGCCACACUGGAACUGAGACACGGUCCAGACUCCUACGGGAGGCAGCAGUAGGGAAUCUUCCGCAAUGGGCGAAAGCCUGACGGAGCAACGCCGCGUGAGUGAUGAAGGUCUUCGGAUCGUAAAACUCUGUUAUUAGGGAAGAAAAUAUGUGUAAUAAACUGCGCACAUCUUGACGGUACCUAAUCAGAAAGCCCCGGCUAACUACGUG
rnacentral:rRNA from 1 species